UACGUAGGGUGCAAGCGUUUGUCCGGAAUUAUUGGGCGUAAAGAGCUCGUAGGCGGUCUGUCGCGUCUGCUGUGAAAACUCAGGGCUUAACCCUGAGCUUGCAGUGGGUACGGGCAGACUAGAGUGUGGUAGGGGGAGACUGGAAUUCCUGGUGUAGCGGUGAAAUGCGCAGAUAUCAGGAGGAACACCGAUGGCGAAGGCAGGUCUCUGGGGCCAUAAACUGACGCUGGAGAAAGCGGAAAAGCAUGGGGGAGCGAACAGG
rnacentral:rRNA from 1 species